UACGUAGGAUGCAAGCGUUGUUCGGAAUUACUGGGCGUAAAGAGUACGUAGGCGGUGACAUAAGUCUGAUAUUAAAGACAGGAGCUCAACUUCUGAAGUGUAUCGGAAACUGUGUUACUAGAGGAUAGUAGAGGAAGUCGGAAUUCUCAGUGUAGCGGUGAAAUGCGUAGAUAUUGGGAAGAACACCAGCGGCGAAAGCGGACUUCUGGGCUAUUACUGACGCUGAGGUACGAAAGUGUGGGGAGCAAACGGG
rnacentral:rRNA from 1 species